GACGAACGCUGGCGGCGUGCUUAACACAUGCAAGUCGAACGGAAAGGCCCUGCUUUUGUGGGGUGCUCGAGUGGCGAACGGGUGAGUAACACGUGAGUAACCUGCCCUUGACUUUGGGAUAACUUCAGGAAACUGGGGCUAAUACCGGAUAGGAGCUCCUGCUGCAUGGUGGGGGUUGGAAAGUUUCGGCGGUUGGGGAUGGACUCGCGGCUUAUCAGCUUGUUGGUGGGGUAGUGGCUUACCAAGGCUUUGACGGGUAGCCGGCCUGAGAGGGUGACCGGCCACAUUGGGACUGAGAUACGGCCCAGAAGCCUACGGGAGGCAGCAGUGGGGAAUAUUGCACAGUGGGCGGAAGCCUGAUGCAGCAACGCCGCGUGCGGGAUGACGGCCUUCGGGUUGUAAACCGCUUUCGCCUGUGACGAAGCGUGAGUGACGGUAAUGGGUAAAGAAGCACCGGCUAACUACGUG
rnacentral:rRNA from 1 species